UACCCAUUUAAAGCAUCGCAGAGACACAUCUGUCAUUCAUCAGUCACAGCAGAGAGACAGUGUUUACUUCUUUCACCAUUUUGUCAAAAUGUGCAAGCUCACUCUAACUGCAGGUCUCUGUGUGAUCAUCGCCAGCUUGGGUUUACCUGGCCUUGUGACAGGAAAUCCAAUACAUCCUGUAAACCCCUGUCAUGGAAGAGCGGAUGGGAACUACGCUAACCCCGUUGACCAACAUUCAUUUUACCAAUGUGUAGCUGGACACACCUUUGUCCAACCAUGCCCAGCAGGUUUGGUGUUUGCACAAUACAAAAAUGCCUGUGACUAUCCUGCUCAAACUACCGGAUCCCCAAACGGAAACGACUGUCACGGAAGAACAGAUGGGCAAUAUACCAACCCUCAUGACCAACAUUCUUUUUUAAGCUGUUCAGGUGGCAUAACCUACAUCCUAAAAUGCCCAUCAAAUUUGGUGUAUGUAGAAUCCAUAAAUGCCUGUGACUAUCCUGCUCAAACUACCGGAUCCCCAAACGGAAACGACUGUCACGGAAGAACAGAUGGGCAAUAUACCAACCCUCAUGACCAACAUUCGUUUUUAAGCUGUUCAGGUGGCAUAACCUACAUCCUACAAUGCCCAUCAAAUUUGGUGUAUGUAGAAUCCAUAAAUGCCUGUGACUAUCCCAGACAUCCUUAUUAACCUACCACUACACAUAACGGAAACCUCUCUCAUGAAAGUCAUGGGAAAUACCCCAUAGAUAUGUUAAUUUAUCUGAAAUGCAUUACUUAACUCCAUGAUCGUUGUAUAUGAUUUAGGCCUAUGUAAUUGUUGGGGUAUUUAAUCGUAUGUGUGUGUUCUCUUUGGUUUAUGUUAACCUUUGGUGAAUGGAUUUGUCUGACAUUAUGACACAGAUGUUGCAUUUUGCAUUCAUGUAUUCAUGUGCUGUCUCUAAGUACAAAAAUCCU